AAGCCAUGGUUUCCUACACCAAAGUUCAGCCACUUUGUUUUGGAUUUAUCAUCAUGGAAGCCUUACUUGAAAACAAUUAAAAGAUGGAAGAUUAUGGAACCUUUUCAUUUUAGUGAUGAAAAAACAAGAUGAAUUCAUAUGUGACUGGUAGGAUGCCAAAGCCAGAGAUGACAGCACUCCUGAGGGAAUGAGGGGCAGUAAGGAAGAUAAAAGGCAGUGCAUGGCCUGGUGCAUUGCACGAAGAGGGACAAGAGGAGUCUACAAUCUCUUCAAAGUUCUCCUUCCGGCAUCAAUUCUCUCCUAGAAAGAGAUUGCUAGUGUAGUUUUGAAUAUGUCAGAGGUAGUUUCUUCAGCUUUGGUGUUACCAGCCCGUCUGAAAAACCCAAUAGCUCAAUAUGCACACAAGGUAUCUGGGAAGGGAAUUGUUGGCCUUUUGGUGACCUCUGGCACCUGAAACUCUGCUGAUUUAGUAGUUUCCCACAAAAGUGCAAUUUGUGCUGCAGUGUGGUAUAAACCCGUAAACCCAUCAAGGGUCUUGCACAUUUCAGCUGAAUGGAUUGACAGCCAUAAAAUGAACACUGGAAUAUAAACUCAGUUCUCUCUUUCUACAUUAAAACACUGCAUUUAGCUGCAAGGAACCUUUUUCAGACUCCAUAUAAUUUAUCAUAAAACCAGCCUCAUAUUCUGCUUUGGAAGUGAGGAACCUAUAUUAAUUAAUUGUUAUGCAGAUCUUAUGUUCCAUUUAUAGCCCAUAGGAUUUUAAGAUUUAGUAAUGGGUGAAAACUGGACAUUUGUGUUCACCUCCGCAGCCUCCACAUAACAUUCAAAAUUAGUCAAAUUUAUUCCUCCAGGGAUUUACAGUCUUACCCCAUGCUCCAGGACAAACUGCCCCACUCUGAUUAGAAAAACUCUUCUACUCCAUAGGAGUAUUAUCUGAGCAUUAGUGCAGUGCAUUUUGUUUCCACUUGAUAAAUUACUUACACAUUAGGUGCUCCAUACAGUAGGUCCUGUAAUUCUUGUUAUGUUUAAGGUACUUUGUGAUACACGGGAGAUAAUUAACUUGCACCAUUUUAGUGCAAAAAUAUAUGUUGAUCUAGGUCACAUGACAUGUAACCAUUCAGAGUUUAAAAUACUAUUAUUUAAAAUUUAUUUUCUUCUCAAAAUGGUUUAUGAAAUUAUCAUUUGAAUAAUUCACUGCAUAGUUAGACUAUAUUAUGUGUUGGUUCAGUUCCACAUUUGGUAACAACAGAGCUGAGAUUGCAAUUGCAGUUAAAAUAAAAAUUGAGUGACAGAAGAGAUUUAUUAUAAAUCCUUAUUUUGGGAACUUCGUAACUUUGCUGGUUCAUAUUAGGCUAAAAUUCAGAAUAUACACUGACAGCCUUGAUGUAUUUUUUCAGUUAUUUUUAUAAAAUCCAGUAUGAGUCCAUUAAAUCAUUUGUGAGUUUUAGAGCAUUUUAAACUAAACCAAGUAAAUUGUAACUCUCAUAAAAAUGAGGCACCAAUAGUACUGGCUAGACAAAGAGAGGUAUAGUUUCACCACACCAUUCUGCCAAUUUACCUCAGUCCUAAUCUCCAUUUCCCCCCCCCCCCCACACACACACACCCUGUGCCCACUAUUCCAGUCCACACUCUGCCAGGGCAUCUGUCUUGACCUGAAGACUUCUACUAUUCCAGUACUAGAAUAACCUGUAGUAUCUGGGAAAGGAGGAGGAGGUUUUUCAGUAUCCAGCAUAAUUUUGCUAAUUAGUUCCAUAUAGUUUCAAGAAAUUUUACUACUCUUGCCACAGGAAAUGGAAUUUAAAGAAAAGACUUGGUGCUAUUGCUGUCAGUCAGCCAAUGGCCACUAGCCAUGAUCAACAAUGGCUCUGCCAGCUCCAGUAUCAGGGCAUGUGCUGUCAAGUCAGCAGUGUUUGGAAUACUCAGAUAUAGCCAUAUUUGGCUUCUGUAUAAAUCACUUAUUCUGGCAUAUUUGAGCUUUUUGUGUUGCAAGCUCUUUACUGUUUCUUUUAUUCUCCAGCUAGUGAUAUUAUAUGUGACCCUUUGCACAUACAGUUGCUUUUCAAUAGCCUCCUUUUUCUCAAGACUUUGUCAGUCUUCAGUUCUUGUAGUUUUAGAGGAAGCAUUAAAUAAAUCUAUACAUUAUUUUCACUGACUGUCGUGCUACUACUUAUCUUCCUUGAGUUAGCAAGAGAACACAGCACUAGGCAGUGGUCUGUUGUUGAGCAUGUAGGUGACGCAAUCUGUUUGUAGAAACUAGAAAAGGAAAAAAACUUUCAUCAGUUAGUUGCCUCUAGUUCAGUAUUUUGUAGCUCUAUGUUACCAUUUGUUGUGAAUUAUCUUGCUCAGACAUAGGUGAAACUCUUCAAAGUGCUGGAUGUUAGGCUCAUAUGUAGCCCAUGUGUCUCACAAGCAUACAAUAAAGAAA